AUUGAACGCUGGCGGCAGGCCUAACACAUGCAAGUCGAGCGGAUGAAGAGAGCUUGCUCUCUGAUUCAGCGGCGGACGGGUGAGUAAUGCCUAGGAAUCUGCCUGGUAGUGGGGGACAACGUUUCGAAAGGAACGCUAAUACCGCAUACGUCCUACGGGAGAAAGUGGGGGAUCUUCGGACCUCACGCUAUCAGAUGAGCCUAGGUACGAUUAGCUAGUUGGUGAGGUAAAGGCUCACCAAGGCGACGAUCGUUAACUGGUCUGAGAGGAUGAUCAGUCACACUGGAACGGAGACACGGUCCAGACUCCUACGGGAGGCAGCAGUGGGGAAUAUUGGACAAUGGGCGAAAGCCUGAUCCAGCCAUGCCGCGUGUGUGAAGAAGGUCUUCGGAUUGUAAAGCACUUUAAGUUGGGAGGAAGGUCAGUAGCUUAAUACGUUGCUGAUUUGACGUUACCGACAGAAUAAGCACCGGCUAACUCUGUGCCAGCAGCCGCCGUAACAC
rnacentral:rRNA from 1 species